rnacentral:rRNA from 1 species
GACAGAGGUGCCAAGCGUUAGGCGGAAUUACUGGGCGUAAAGCGUGCGCAGGCGGUUCGUUGUGUCGGUGGUGAAAUCCCCGGGCUUAACCUGGGAAUGGCCAUGGAAACUGGCGAACUGGAGUGCGGCAGAGGGGGGUGGAAUUCCGCGUGUAGCAGUGAAAUGCGUAGAGAUGCGGAGGAACACCGAUGGCGAAGGCAGCCCCCUGGGCUAGCACUGACGCUCAGGCACGAAAGCGUGGGGAGCAAACAGG